UGGAUCGACGAUGACAAGCGGCGAGAUUGUUUCCCAAGUCCUGGCCGGCCUCGACCUCGACUACAACCCGGUCGUGUCGGCCCUUGCUGCGCGCGUGGAGCCCGUGACCGUCCAGGAGCUGAAUACCCAAUUGCUAAGCUUUGACG
rnacentral:snoRNA from 1 species